GGAGCUGAAUAACGCCUAGGCUAUUGUAAGCUACACGACCUAAGGCUGCGGAAAACAUCAGCGUCCCGCCCCGCUGUGGGGAAAAAAAUGGAAUCGUUAUUUACAUCAGCAACAUACGCCACUGAGUAUCGAAGUUAAAAUCUCACAUCAUCAGGAAGAUGUCCGGACUGCUGUGUUUCGGCCGUCGUGAGGGUCUGUCUUCAUGGAAGCCAAGGCAGGUCGCCGCAGAGAGGGAGCCACUUACCGGAAUCUGGACCCAGCUGGAAUGAAGCUGUGUGUCUGCGAACUGAUCUUUGCACCACAAAAGCCUGACCAAGACCCUGGAUUACCUGAAAUGGGACUUCACCUCAGACCUAGAUGUUAAAUUUAAAUGUAUUUCACACCUAUUUCAAGUGAAAUAUAAAAUCUCCAUAGUGUGACAAGGAUGUGAGUGAUGGGUGGAGUCCUGUAAAGAGGACAGGUGGAGGGAGUCUGAGUGAAGGUGGAGUCCUGUAAAGAGGACAGGUGGAGGGAGUCUGAGUGAAGGUGGAGGGAGUCUGAGUGAAGGUGGAGUCCUGUAAAGAGGACAGGUGGAGGGAGUCUGAGUGAAGGUGGAGGGAGUCUGAGUGAAGGUGGAGUCCUGUAAAGAGGACAGGUGGAGGGAGUCUGAGUGAAGGUGGAGGGAAUCUGAGUGAAUGUGGAGUCUUGUAAAGAGGAGAGGUGGAGGGAGUCUGAGUGAAGGUGAAGUCCUGUAAAGAGAAGAGGUGGAGGGAGUCUGAGUGAAGGUCUGAGUAUAAGAGACUCAUGUAAAGUGUAGCUGCUUUAAUUAACCUCAAUCUUUAUAAUGUCAGUACAUGCAUGCUAUUUUGUAGUCAAUUAGCCGACAAUUUUAAAAUGUGUUUUUUCCGGAAAAUGUGUCAGUGCUUGAAAAUUCCUUGCUCAGUCUUAAAUAAGGAACUUAUUAUGUAGAUAUCAGAUCCUAAUUCAAUAACCAUUAGGACGUAACGUACCGCCUGAGUAUCAACAAAAAGCAGCAGAAAAAUAAAUCAAUUUUUAAAAAAUAAUAAUCCAUGAAAUGAUGUUAAAUACUGGAUCUAUAUCUUUGUUAGCAAAUGUAAAUUUACCAUAUCCAAUUGCUAACUGUAAAACU